UACGUAGGGAGCAAGCGUUGUCCGGAAUCAUUGGGCGUAAAGAGCGCGUAGGCGGCCCUGUAAGUCCGUUCUGAAAGUCAAAGGCUCAACCUUUGAAAGCGGAUGGAUACUGCAGGGCUAGAGUCCGGAAGAGGCGAGUGGAAUUCCUGGUGUAGCGGUGGAAUGUGCAGAUAUCAGGAGGAACACCAACGGCGAAGGCGGCUCGCUGGACCGGUUCUGACGCUGAUGCGCGAAAGCGUGGGGAGCAAACAGG
rnacentral:rRNA from 1 species